rnacentral:rRNA from 1 species
UACGGAGGAUGCAAGCGUUAUCCGGAAUGAUUGGGCGUAAAGCGUCCGCAGGUGGCUGUGUAAGUCUGCUGUCAAAGAGCGAAGCUCAACUUCGUAAAGGCAGUGGAAACUACACGGCUAGAGUGCGUUCGGGGCAGAGGGAAUUCCUGGUGUAGCGGUGAAAUGCGUAGAGAUCAGGAAGAACACCGGUGGCGAAGGCGCUCUGCUAGGCCGCAACUGACACUGAGGGACGAAAGCUAGGGGAGCGAAUAGG